rnacentral:rRNA from 1 species
CAUGCAAGUCGAACGGAACAACAGCUUCGGUUGUUGUUUAGUGGCGGAAGGGUUAGUAAUACAUAGAUAAUCUGUCCUCAACUUGGGAAUAACGAUUGGAAACGGUCGCUAAUACCGAAUGUGGUAUAUUUUAGGCAUCUAAAGUAUAUUAAAGAAGGGGAUCUUCGGACCUUUUGGUUGAGGGAGAGUCUAUGGGAUAUCAGCUUGUUGGUGGGGUAAUGGCCUACCAAGGCUUUGACGUCUAGGCGGAUUGAGAGAUUGACCGCCAACACUGGGACUGAGACACUGCCCAGACUCCUACGGGAGGCUGCAGUCGAGAAUCUUUCGCAAUGGACGAAAGUCUGACGAAGCGACGCCGCGUGUGUGAUGAAGGCCUUAGGGUUGUAAAGCACUUUCGCCUGGGAAUAAGAGAGAUUGGCUAAUAUCCAAUUGAUUUGAGCGUACCAGGUAAAGAAGCACCGGCUAACUCCGUGCCAGCAGCUGCGGUAAUACGGAGGGUGCUAGCGUUAAUCGGAUUUAUUGGGCGUAAAGGGCGUGUAGGCGGAAAGGAAAGUUAGAUGUUAAAUCUUGGAGCUCAACUCCAAACAGGCAUCUAAUACUAUCUUUCUAGAGGUUAGAUGGAGAAAAGGGAAUUCCACGUGUAGCGGUGAAAUGCGUAGAUAUGUGGAAGAACACCAGUGGCGAAGGCGCUUUUCUAAUUUAUUCCUGACGCUGAGGCGCGAAAGCAAGGGGAGCAAACAGGAUAG